GUGAACAUAAUUUAAAUAAAAUACUAGAUUGUGAUUCUAGAAAUAGGAGCUAAACUCUUCUUGUCCACC
rnacentral:tRNA from 1 species